GCUUCUAUGGCCAAGUGGUAAGGCGUCGCACUUGUAGUUUCUGAGUCAGGCUCUACAAGGUUAUGCGAAGAUCCCUGGUUCGAAUCCGGGUGGGAGCA